rnacentral:rRNA from 1 species
UACGAGGGGGGCAAAUGUUGUUCGGAAUCACUGGGCGUAAAGGGAGCGUAGGCGGGUGUUUAAGUUAGGUGUUUAAUCCUGGGGCCCAACCCCAGUCGUGCACCUAAAACUGGACAUCUUGAAUAGUGGAGAGGUCAGUGGAAUUGGGGGUGUAGCGGUGGAAUGCGUAGAGAUCCCCAAGAACACCAGUUGCGAAGGCGGCUGACUGGACACAUAUUGACGCUGAGGCUCGAAAGCGUGGGGAGCAAACAGG